GGACCUCAGAUUUCAAACAUUUCCGAGACAAUGCCUCUGGAUCCUCCUACUCAUAGUGUUAGAAGAUGGAAUCACCAGGGGGCCAAAGUCAAAUUUUGUCCUGGGCACCCCAAUUUCCCUGGGUGCUGUUCAGUGUAUGUUGGUUUUGGCAUUUUUGAAUAUCAAUGGUAGCCUGUUUUGUGGUUACACAUUAUUAUAAGGGUGUGUUCAGAAAUUUUCAGGGCGUGCUUCUGCUCGGCUAAAC
rnacentral:lncRNA from 1 species